GCCUUGGCAACAAGAGCAAAACUCUGUAUUUAAAAAAAAAAAAAAAAAAAAAAUUAAAAAGAAUUGUGGAACUAGUGUUUUAUUUCUAAGCUUGCAGAUAUUUCUAGAAUUCCACUUACUGUUACAUCUAAAUGUAUGGUGAUUAUUCGUUAAAUAAUAAGCAGGUCUGUAAACAUUUUAUUCUCUAACCUCUUUCCACAUUUGUAUGAGUAUAGAAAAACUGUGGCUGUGAAUAUUUUUUACUUUUUGAUAGCUUUUAAAAACUCAGAUAUGUGAUAAUCAGAGAUUUCAAGUUUACUUACAGUGUAAAUUAGGAAAAUUUUUAUAAAGAUUCCAUCCAGUAUUGAUCAAAAGUUUAAAUUGUAUGUCUUUUUAAGCAGCAGUUUGGCAAUGACAAUCAAAUUGAUACUAUGUAAAAGUUUUGAAAUGUUAUAGCUGGCUACUGGGGUUUUAUCUAUUCCAGUUCUUGAAAAUUUACCAAAUACAGGUUGGCUAUAAAAUCAUAACUGAGGUAUCUCAAUAAAUCAAAGAUUGCAGUGAUUAUAGCUUCUUUAACAUGAAUGUAAUUCUAACACUAAAAAAUUUCUAUGUGGAAUAUGUUUUGUAGUCCUAAAUUGAUAUUUUAUAUCAUUUUUCAAUGAACAACUAGCUGUUUACAGAGGUCUGUGCAUAUGUCUCUAGUUUUUCUAACUGAAAUAUUAAUGGUUAAUUAUAAAAAUAUGAAUUAUAUGUGGGGCUUGUCAUUCUGACAUUUAAUACUUCAGUGUUGUGGUAAUGGUGAUUAUUUAAAUAUACUGUUUGAAAUUGUAACACAUGAGUUAAAAUCAAAAGAUUGUAUAUGUACAUAUUUGUAUAUUACUACAUGACAAAAAUCUAGAAAGCAUAUGAUUCACAUGAAAAUUGUUUGGAGGGACAUGACAAAGUUUUAACAGUCCUGUGUAGUGAAUGGAGAAUAGAAGGACUACUUCUACUUUCUGUAUCUGAAAUUUUCAAAAGCUAUUUCAAAAUGAACAUUGAAACAAAAGGAAAUUUUAGAGACAACCACUUUGUGCCUGUCUUCAUCCUUGACAUUCAACAUCCUAGGAACAAUGGGCUGCUGUAUUCAACUUCUUGUUCUCAACAGCAUUAUGAAUGGUUUUUGAUUGAUCUCACAAAGAGCAUGUGAUUUAGACAUUAAUGCAGCAACUACCAUGAAACGGAGUAUUGGAUUACCUGAGGAAAGAAGCAGAAGAUGGAAUUUGAGGCAGUCAGGAUGAGUGCAAAACUUAUUUGCAGCUAACCUGCAAAUGGAAUCAUCCGGAACAUCCCUUUCUUACGGAGUCCCUUAAUUUACAACUUAACUGCAAACAUAGGAGACGGUAGUUCCAAGAAGGAACAUUUUAUCGUCUUUGUUUUUAAUCUCAAGAAUGGUACCUGCCAUCAGUGAAUGACUUGUUGCAGUGCUUUCAUUGAAGUGUUCUUCAUUCCCUCGGCAAUAUGAUUGUGAUGACUGAAAAAGGGAACCUGUGCUACUAUUUGUACCAUCAUCUUCACCAAAAUCAAAAAAUGCUUUUUAUGAUGUAUGGAGACACUCUUCAUGUGUGUUUCAGUGGACAUUCCUUGCAGAUAGAAAAAACUGAGAAAGCUCACUUUUGGAAAGUGACCUAAAAAGUGUCAUUGAAGUGAAUUUUAAGUAGGCACGACGAUUGUUUUCAUGGUUGCUGUUGGAUCAUGUCUCAGGAGCUGGAAUGACAGACGUUACUGAACAAAGAAAUCAGGAUAGUGAAACUUAAAGAGUUUCAUCUCAGUGCUUUCAUAAGUAUGAAGUGCAUGUAUUUAUAAUUUUCACUAAUCACAGGAAUAUUCCCUGUCUAUACUUGCAUUUUUUUCUAUCAAUUGACACAAUUAUUUUUGCAAGUUGGAAAAAAAUGCAGUAUUAAUUUCAUUUGCAACAAACUUAAUAGAUUAAUUAGGAGAGAAUAGAUAUCUUUAAAAUUGAGUCUUCUAUCCAACUGCAAGUUAUAGCUGAGGUGGUACCAGUUUAAGAAGUGAGAACUUCUUCACUGACUGAUAUUUGCAUAUAAAUCCAAAUCAUUGUGCUUGUUUACUAUUUUUGUAGACGUCAUUCUUCAAAAGUGCUGCAUCUUUCAUAGUCAAGGAGGACAAAGACAUCUUUCCUGCAGGUGGUGACCAUGUGGAUAAUGGGAUUAUAGCCAAAUGGUGGUUUCAUCUACAGCAUCACCAAAAUGCUGUUGUUAUUGCUUCUUUCUGGGAUCUUCUUGCAUCUUUGCUUCUCAAGGGGCACAACUUUCAUAGAAGUAUGUCCAGGAAUAGAGGUGACCUGCUUUUUGGCAAGUAAUUGCCUGGAACGUUUUUAUGUACUUCUCUGCGCUCUCAAUACAUUUCAUGCUUCCCUCUAUUUUUGUGUAUUAACUCAUUGUAUUUCUUAAAUUUAUAUUUUACUUUUCGAAUGGAAGUGAGAUUUGUGUAUGGUAAAUAUAAUUAAUUCAACCCCAUGGACACGCUAGUCACUCUCCAGAUUAUGGCAAGUCUUUCUCAGAUGCAGAGGGCCUUGGUGUGCCAGUGAUUUUUUUUUCCCCCAUGUGUAAGAUACUUUUUUUCCUCAUUUGAAUCAGGAGCCCACAGUUUUUUGGACAAGUCUCAAAUGAAAUCUUAAGCAUUUGUGUUGUCUGGACUAGACCUUCUGUAGUAUCCUUUUUGUUAGACCUAGUAUAUUUCAUUCCAGAUCAGGAUCUGAGAGUGACUAUAAUUCACCUCUUUCCAAGUACACAAACUUGGAUGACAUGACAACUGAGUGUGUAAGGGAGAGCGAGACCCUUGCACUGCCAUUUUCAGCCAUUAUGAUCUCAUCUUGUAGAACAUGUUGUAUAAUCAUUUUCUUGGUAUCACUAGUGUUCUUUGGGGCUGGAAUAAAAAUCUUAGCGUACCAAAGAGAUUUCCCCUUUAUCCACGUUACCUUGGUUUUCCUUUAUUUUCUGUUUAACCUAAGUGGACUUAAUAUAAAAUAGUGUUUACUUGGUGUUUUAAUUGUCUACUUCUAUAACAUAAGCUGCACUGUCCACUGGGGAACUGCUUACCAUAUUGCCCAACCUGUCUAGAUAGGUUUAUACAGGGGAGACAUUCAGUAAUAUUAACUCUCUAGACCCGUGUUAGCAAUAACAAACAAUUGCUGGAAUUUUAAGACUAUAUUAUCAAUCCCUUUGAUGUCAGUUAAUCCUACCAACACAAGAUUUAAUGGUUUAAAAAUCUUAUGAAUGUGUACAGCCAUUAGUGUCUCCUUAUUCAUUGGCAGCUAGAUUUUGAGGUAGAACUUGUGUUCCCUUUUGCAAUACUCAUUUAUUUUACCUGGACAGAAGAUGCUCUUGUACUUCCAAAGUUAAUUUGUCUCAUACUAUUUCUUGUGUUAAUAUUUUCCAAGUUCAGGAUGCUGUCUGGAUAUAAGAAGAUGAGUGUCCUAAUCACACACCUUUACAUUAUAUGAAACAUGAUUCAGAGUUUUGUAGUCUGUAUAACAAUAUACAGAGGUCAGCAAAAUUUGUAAAAGAACAGACUGUAUAGGCCAUACUGUUGUAACUACUCAACAUUGCCAUUAUAUGUGAAAUCAGCUAUAACCAAUUCAUAAACCAAUGAAUAUGGCCGUGUUCUAGUAAAACUUACUAACAAAAACGUGUUAGGCCAGAUUUGGACCACAGGCUAUAGUUUUCUGACCUCUGGCUUACAGCAGAAGUUUAUUUUGAUACACGGAAAGCAGAAGCGAGAAAAUGUAUUCUAUCCCAUGUCAUUUUUCUGAAUCCUAAACAUAGGAAGUUAAAGUAAAACAUGGGGCAGAAUCUGCUUUAAGCCUUUGAAUUCUUGGCUCUUAAAACCAGGUUGAGGGUUGUGUGUUUUUAUUCUUUUGUAUCUCCUUUUCACUUUGGCUUGGCACCUGGUUCAUUGAAACAGAGCCAAUAAGAAUGAGUGAGUCAGUCAGUGAUAAGAAGCAACCUGUGGCCAUUUAUCCAUUCCUACUUCCUAGGCUUGAUAAGUAGUAUCUGUAGUAUAGUUGUCAGUAACUUUUUGAGCUUACGUAAGUUUAUGUGGAAUUCAUUUACAAAUGUGUGAUUAUGAUGAUAGAUGUUAUUUUGUAAAUUUCAAGGUUCUUUAGUGUGGCAUGGACAUGUUUCCAAAUCAAUAAAUGUAGCUUACCCACAGACUUUAUGGGAUGUAAAGUGUGUAUUACAAUGAGUGAAUCCAUUUCUCUGUUUUGGGAAAGCAGGUUAAUUUUUUUUUGUUUUGUUGCUACAUAUAAUGUUGACUAUAUGUAUAUUCUAAUGCAGUUGGUCUCCUAAUUCUACAGGAUAGAUGUCUAGCUGUUGCAUUGUUGGAUCAUCAGUUUCGUUUUAGUUAGAUGCUAUGAAAUUGCUCUUGAAAAUGGUGUCCUCUGCCACCACAGAACGGUGUUGUUAUGAAAGUG